rnacentral:rRNA from 1 species
AAUUCGAUUGAGUUUGAUCCUGGCUCAGCCUGAACGCUGGCGGCGUGGCUAAGACAUGCAAGUCGCACGGACGUAGCAAUACGUUAGUGGCGAACGGGUGAGUAAAGAAUCGCUAAUGUACCCCGGACUCUGGGAUAGCCGGUUGAAAGACCGGGUAAUACCAGAUGACAUAACUUUCCUGCAUGGGAAAGUUCUCAAAGGUCCGCCGGUCUGGGAGCAAGCGAUUUUGUAUCAGCUAGUUGGUGAGGUAAUGGUUCACCAAGGCGACGACGCAUAGCCGGACUGAGAGGUUGGCCGGCCACAUUGGGACUGAGACACUGCCCAGACUCCUACGGGGGGCUGCAGUAACGAAUCUUCCGCAAUGUACGCAAGUAUGACGGAGCGACGCCGCGUGUAGGACGAAGCCCUUCGGGGUGUAAACUACUGUCAGGGGUUAGAAAGUUCUGAUCGACCCCAGAGGAAGGCACGGCUAACUCUGUGCCAGCAGCCGCGGUAAGACAGAGGUGCCAAGCGUUAGGCGGAAUCACUGGGCUUAAAGCGUGUGUAGGCGGAUUUCUAAGUACCUUGUGAAAUCCCACGGCUCAACCGUGGAACUGCUUGGUAUACUGGUUAUCUUGAGCUGUCUAGGGGCUACCGGAACAAAUGGUGGAGCGGUGAAAUGCGUAGAUAUCAUUUGGAACGCCAAUGGUGAAAACAGGUAGCUGGGGACAUGCUGACGCUGAGACACGAAAGCCAGGGGAGCAAACGGGAUUAGAUACCCCGGUAGUCCUGG